rnacentral:rRNA from 1 species
CCUACGGGUGGCAGCAGUGCGGAAUAUUGGUCAAUGGCCGAGACUCUGAACCAGCCAAGUAGCGUGAAUGAUGACUGCCCUAUGGUUUGUAAGCUUCUUUUAUAUGGGAAUAAAACUGUGUAUGCAUACACUCUUUUAUGUACCAUAUGUAUAAGGAUCGGCUCGCUCCAUGCCAGCAGCCGCGGUAAUACGACGGAUCCGGUCGUUAUCCGGAUGUAUUGGGCUGAAAGGGAGCGGCGGUGUGUUGUUAAGUCAGUUGUGAAAGUUUUCGGCUCAACCGUAAAAUUGCAGUUGAAACUGGCAGUCUAGAGUACAGUAGAGGGGGGCAGAAUUCGUGGUGUAGCGGUGAAAUGCUUAGAUAUGACGAAGAAUUCCGAAUGCGAAGGCAGCUCACUGGAAUGCAACUGACACUGAUGCUCGAAAGUGUGGGGAUCAAACAGGAUUAGAUACCCGUGUAGUC